rnacentral:rRNA from 1 species
UACGUAGGGUGCGAGCGUUAAUCGGAAUUACUGGGCGUAAAGCGUGCGCAGGCGGUUUUGUAAGCCAGAUGUGAAAUCCCCGGGCUCAACCCGGGAACUGCGUCCGAUACUGGAAGGCUUGAAUCCGGGAGAGGGAUGCGGAAUUCCAGGUGUAGCGGUGAAAUGCGUAGAUAUCUGGAGGAACACCGGUGGCGAAGGCGGCAUCCUGGACCGGGAUUGACACUGAGGAGCGAAAGCUAGGGGAGCAAACGGG